AAGCUUUACAAAUUGAGGCAAUACAACUCUUCUGAGUUUUUCUUAAAAACAAGCAAACAAGUCACUGUUGCCACGGUGGUAAUGACUGGGCUAUGUCAUUAUCUAUCCACCAACAGUAAGAGAAGCUUUGCAGUCGAGAUACUGUUGAGCAGAUGGAGUGUUUUCUGUUGGACACUAAGUACUGCUACAAAU
rnacentral:snoRNA from 1 species